rnacentral:rRNA from 1 species
UACAGGGGGUGCAAGCGUUGUUCGGAAUUAUUGGGCGUAAAGCGCGUGUAGGCGGACCACUAAGUCUGGUGUGAAAUCCCUCGGCUUAACCGAGGACGUGCAUUGGGUACUGGUGGCCUUGAGUCCUGGAGAGGGUAGCGGAAUUCCCAGUGUAGAGGUGAAAUUCGUAGAUAUAGGAAGGAACACCAGUGGCGAAGGCGACUACCUGGACUGAUACUGACACUGAGGUGCGAAAGCGUGGGGA